UGGAAACUAUAGCAUGGAUAUGAAAACCGCAGUUUCGACUGGUGUGUGUAUGCGUGUGUGCGUGUGUCUGUGUGUGUCUGUAUGUGUGUGUGUCUGCGUGUAUUUUAAAGGUUUCUUUGAACUGCCUUUGUGCUGAGUCGGCGCUGCUUCUUGCCAAUGCAAGUCACGGUCAUACGAACUUUGUGUUAACCUUUUAUGUCGAAUGAAUCUUUUCAUUUGGAAAGCCAUAAAUCUCAUUCCGUAGCUCCUUUUGUGCAGCGCGCUACGACUUAGUAAGCCAAGUGUGCGUUCAACAACAAAAAAAGUAGGAAAACAAAAGUUGCAACCGAUAGAAAGUAUAACUUUAAAAGCAAACAAAAAAAUCAGAUUCCAGUGUAAAGUGCGGGACUGGCUGUUCACAGGAGGCAUCGAGGAAGCAAUCGAAGUGGAAACGGAGCGCUCACAUGCACAACCUUGAGAAUAUCGAAAGGCAAGCCUUCAUCUCGAGUUGGCAUAUAUUUGCAGGUUUCGUUUUCGCAAAACAAAAGGAAAUUUGUUCGUCAAUUAAUGUGCUACGAUGUCUCCGCACCCGUCGUUCAAAGAGUUCAGGCACCAAAUGGACGCCAUGAACAGACCAACCCGUGCUUCUGCUGGUCCUAUAAUCCUGUGGCAUGUGCUGAUGACAUCACAUGAUGUCCAUUGCCGGCAACAUCUAGUUCCCUGCAACUGUCAUUUAAUGUUGCAAGCAAAUGAAAAAUGACUGUGAGACUCACUGGCUCCCAGAAGUGACCUUGAGUAUUAUUAGAAUGACCUCCCAUCGGUUUGACCAGAAGACCUUUGAUAUCUGCAUGAAGAAAAUAUACGAGUGAGCUGCCUGGUCUACCGAUAGAAAGGACAAUGAUCAGCGAGAAUAGCACAAAGCUGAAGCUAAGUUGCAGCUCAUGGCCUGCCAACAUUGAAAAGUGAUCGCUAUACAUAACGUGAAUCACUGUAUCCAUUGCUCUGAGAAUUGUGUUUUUUUUUAAUGCAAAUCUUUAUGUAUAUAUAUAAAAGCAUUAAUUUAAAAGGCCCCAUGCUUGCAUAGGAUACACACACACACAUAGAGAAAUAUUUCUCGGGCCCCUGUCAGUUGGAAAUGAAUCUGACAGUCAAUAGAGUUCCACUCCUCCCAACGCGCAUUCUAUUACAGACUUUCUCAAGCCAUAGUCAGGAAGAAAACUGUAAGGGAAGUCACAUGUUUUGAAUGGUUGGUUCAUUGAGUAGACCAAAGCUUUUCUUGAUCAAAAAUCAUAAGUCGAAUUCUUUGAUGUAAUCAGCUUUUCACGUAGUCUCUUCCUUCCCGAAGCAAACUCUAAAUACUACUCUGCUCUAAUCAGCUCACACACUGUAAGCACUUUCCACGACUAAUACGAUAUCCUGAAAACAAAUUACUGAAGACUGAUUACGGGAGGGAAGGUUAGCUCUACUGCUGUACUUUCACCCACUGCGUCGUUCAUCUCUCUCCGUCAGUCUCUUCCUCCCUUCUCCGCAUUUCAUGCGAUUUUUAAAAAGUGUCCCCUCCCUCUUUUCCAGAUUCCAACCCCUUUCUUCCUCUUUAAAUAGUUUUUCCUCGUGUUUCUUGACUUUUCCUUGGUUUCUUUGCCUUAUGCACCAUUGCGCCAACCUGAAGCACACAUUACUUUAUGUUUGCAUUUUGAGGGUAUUAAUGAACUGUCUCUCGUCGAUUGUUCUCCCUCCGCUGUGCAUCCUGAUAGUAACAAUAGAUAGUGGAUGUGAUCUCAUGUGCAGUUGGGGUUUGUUCACAAGCGCAGACAUCCCUACCCCAAAAAUGGCACCAGCAAAGUUCUCAACUGCAAGGCCAAUCCCGCCAUUGUUCAAAUAAAAGCAGCCAUUUCGUUGAUUCAGCCAGGGGCUAACAAUUCACCAUAUCUGGUAUUAUUACAAAAUCAGAGGGCCCACCUUGUCAGUGCAACACAACACAUAGGGUCCACACCUACUUACAAUUAUAGCUACAUAUAUGAAGCUGCGUACCACAUGCAAACAUUUGCAGCAGUGAAGGGUCUCUCUCUUCACCCCCUCCCCACCUCCCACCAUCACCUCGGCAUCCUACGUCAUCCCACCCCCACCCUCCCCAAUCCGUCUGUCAAUAUUAGGCAAGCUGUUCACUUUCAAUCCAUCUUGAAAUUAAUACGGAUAUUGUCAUGUGCAGAUUGUGACCGUGGGAUACUUUGAGUUGAGCUAGUGCCUUUUCCCCUACGUGCGUUGGUCAACAUGAUAAAAUGUUUCCUUUCGAAAUGGAACGGUACUGCAUCGAGAUUGUAGCGUGCUGAAUUACUUAUGUUACAAAGUUGGAAAGAGAGAUCUUUCAAAGGCAGCAGAUUCAAUCCAAUCAAAUAAUAUUGUGAUCUUCGAACAGUCCUUCUGUGACAAUAUAGAACCCUAUUUAAAUAAACACAUGGGAAGCAGUAGAUCUGCCUUUCUUUCGUAUCAUAGCUGCUUUUUCAUUGUGUAUAUUGUUCAUUGUUCACAUUCAUUGUGUAUAUGGUUCAUACUGAGCAUAUAAGAAAAAUAUAGGAUGGUAAAAUGCACACCCUUUAACAUCACCGAAAAAGCAAGGAUUGUGCAGACUGGCCAUUAUAGUUUGGAAAUUACAUUAUUCGAAAGUCACCAAAUACUUAAAAGGGUUAAGCAAGAAGAGCAAGGACAUGUAUUUCACAAUCAUUGGGAUCAAAGCAAUGCUACUUCUCUGCUUCGGUUGUUAGGAAAACUUUCAACAAAGAGGCUUGUUAACACCUUAAGGUUCACCUUGUCCCCUACCGUUAAUCUGUCACAAAUCGGUAGAAUGGGAUCCAUAGAAAGUGGCUUUAAAACUAUAUUUUUGUGUGUCUUAGCGAUCAUUCAUCACGUGCCAUAUAUUUACAAACGGAGGUAAAAGUAAUUUCUCACGUUAAACCAGCAAACAAUAUGUACACGAGGACAACUCUCCCAUAAUGUAGAGUUGCAACAACUUUCUUGCUUUAUUUUUACGAGUAUUCCCUGCGGGUGAUUACAAAAAAAAAGCACCCGCAGAU